GUCAGGCCGUUGCGUAGCAAGCGACCAUUACUGGCCGGGCGGCUGCGGCCAUCUGCCCCACGGCGGCGUGCGGCUUUGAGGAUGACCACUGACUAAUGCGGACGGCCCAAUGAGGUGCUUGACCCCGGCCGCGUUCGACACCUACGGCGGAGCAUGCGGCCGCGCCUACGAGGCUACGAAGAAGCCGGCCGGGCGGUGAACAUGUGCGCCGCCUCGCUUCUCUUCGCCUCGUCGGGCCCAACUGUCGCCAGGCUUCCCUCCGUCCGCUGCCCCCCACGGGCCCGUCGUACUUACCUUGAGGCAUCGGACUCUAUGAUUGGUUGGGAGUAUUGCUUUGGAGGGAGAGUGGCAAAGGGUGCUGGAGAUUUGGCUGCCUUCACCUGGAUGGCUUUCACCUUGUGUAUGACAUGCACCGUGCAAUAAUCGGGUGCCAUCUUCAUCAAGCAUGUUGGGACAUCAGGAUUUCUGAAUCUUCUGCAUGGUAUAAUGAUCAUGGCUGCUAUCAGUAUAGGCAUUAACUGGAUGCGAAGGUGUGCAACCAUGGAAGUGGAGUAAGCAUGUCAUGUACCUGAUGAAUGUGUUCUUAGUUGAUGCCCCAACGACAAUGUCUGUGAUGGCGUUGCUAGUGGCAUAUUCAAUUAUUGCUUUGGAGAUGUCACUGUUAUCCAAGAUGACCUCCUUCAGAUGCAUCUGUGAUUUACAGAUGGCAUUAGAGAAACUCAUACAUUUCACAUUGAGUGGCUGAAUUCUGAAAAGAUGCCUACCCCUGACAUGGACGAGCGUGAGCGUGCUGCCCCUGGACAGGAGCUUAUCCACCGCCCAUUUCGCCGCCUGCUGGCUGUUCUUGUCCCGGUCGACGGCCACGAUGACGGAGCUGUCCCUUGCAGUCGCCUCUUGCUCAGCGCUAUACGAAGACGACACAGCGAACGCCGAGGCGAACAUCUUAGGUGGUGCGCACCACUCUCUUUCUUCCUCGAGCAACAAUCAGCUUCUAACCCAAGCGAGAACCGACGAACCCCAACAACAGAUAGCAAAGAAAGGAGGCUGCAAGAGGCGAAACGGAGGGGAGAGAGAGACAAGGGGGAUUUUGUCUCUCCUCCUCUCUCCUCGCCUUAUUUUGUCCUGCUCGUCCCUAACCUCCCUCCUCCGUUUUUCUGUUGCCAUGGAGCCACCCAAAAGUGUAGAUGCGUUUCCAGGAGGUUUUGCCGUUUCCCCAACUUUGGAUCAUGAGCUUUCGCCUAUUUUUGUGUGGCUAAGCUGUUGCGAGGACUUUGCAGCUCGUGUUUUGUUGUGUCCAUUCAUCUAUUUCUAGGCAAGGCCUGUGUCUGCUUGUUCAUGACUCAUGAUCAUGACUGUCGGUACUGUCACUGUACGGAGUUUGUGCCUGCCUGUCAUCGCUUCAUAAACAGAAUUCUUGUUGUAUUUGUUUUUUUCAGCACAUAUAUAUUUUUCCAAUUAAUAACAAAGUGGCUGCAUUUUUCUUAA